GCUCAGUAACACGUAGUCAACCUACCCUGAAGACGCGGAUAACCCCGGGAAACUGGGACUAAUCCGCGAUGGGCCAAGACAUCUGGAAUGGGUCUUGAUCGAAAGGGAUGCGUGAGCAUGUUCACACAUUCGCUUCAGGAUGGGACUGCGGCCGAUCAGGUUGUUGGCGGGGUAAUGGCCCACCAAGCCUAUAACCGGUACGGGCUUUGAGAGAAGGAGCCCGGAGAUGGACACUGAGACAAGGGUCCAGGCCCUACGGGGCGCAGCAGGCGCGAAACCUUCGCAAUAUGCGAAAGCAUGACGAGGCUACUCCGAGUGCCCUUCGCUAAGAAGGGCUUUUCCCGAGUGUAAAUAACUCGGGGAAUAAGGGGAGGGCAAGUCUGGUGUCAGCCGCCGCGGUAAGACCAGCUCCUCGAGUGGUUGGGACGAUUAUUGGGCCUAAAGCAUCCGUAGCCUGCUCCGUAGGUCUCCUGUUAAAUCCAACCGCUCAACGGUUGGGCCGCAGGAGAUACCGUGGGGCUAGGAGGCGGGAGAGGCCGACGGUACUCCACGGGUAGGGGUAAAAUCUUCUGAUCCGUGGAAGACCACCAGUGGCGAAGGCGGUCGGCCAGAACGCGCUCGACGGUGAGGGAUGAAAGCUGGGGGAGCGAACCGGAUUAGAUACCCGGGUAGUCCCAGCUGUAAACGAUGCGAGCUAGGUGAUACAGCGGCUAAGGGCCACUGUAGUGCCGCAGGGAAGCCGUUAAGCUCGCCGCCUGGGGAGUACGGUCGCAAGACUGAAACUUAAAGGAAUUGGCGGGGGAGCACCACAAGGGGUGAAGCCUGCGGUUCAAUUGGAGUCAAUGCCGGGAACCUUACCGGGAGCGACAGCAGGAUGAAGGUCAGGCUGAAGACUUUACCAGACGAGCUGAGAGGAGGUGCAUGGCCGUCGCCAGCUCGUGCCGUGGGGCGUCCUGUUAAGUCAGGCAACGAGCGAGACCCCUACCAGCAAUUGCCUGCAUCGCCCGAAAGGGUGGCGCGACUUAAAUGCUGGGACUGCCGUCGCUAAGACGGAGGAAGGAGGGGGCCACGGCAGGUCAGUAUGCCCCGAAACUCCCGGGCCACACGCGGGCUGCAAUGGUAGGGACAAUGGGUUCCGACCCCGUAAGGGGAAGGCAAUCCCCAAACCCUACCCCAGUUGUGACUGAGGGCUGCAACCCGCCCUCACGAAUCUGGAAUCCCUAGUAACCGCGCGUCA
rnacentral:rRNA from 1 species